UACAGAGGGGGCAAGCGUUGUUCGGAAUUACUGGGCGUAAAGGGCGCGUAGGCGGCCUUCUAAGUCGAACGUGAAAUCCCCGGGCUCAACCCGGGAACUGCGUCCGAUACUGGAAGGCUUGAAUCCGGGAGAGGGAUGUGGAAUUCCAGGUGUAGCGGUGAAAUGCGUAGAUAUCUGGAGGAACACCAAUAGCGAAGGCAGCUCGCUGGGACGGUACUGACGCUGAGGCGCGAAAGCGUGGGGAGCGAACAGG
rnacentral:rRNA from 1 species